AGCGAACGCUGGCGGCAGGCCUAACACAUGCAAGUCGAACGAACCCUUCGGGGUUAGUGGCGGACGGGUGAGUAACACGUGGGAACGUGCCUUUAGGUUCGGAAUAACUCAGGGAAACUUGUGCUAAUACCGAACGUGCCCUUCGGGGGAAAGAUUUAUCGCCUUUAGAGCGGCCCGCGUCUGAUUAGCUAGUUGGUGAGGUAAUGGCUCACCAAGGCUACGAUCAGUAGCUGGUCUGAGAGGAUGACCAGCCACAUUGGGACUGAGACACGGCCCAAACUCCUACGGGAGGCAGCAGUGGGGAACCUUGCGCAAUGGGCGAAAGCCUGACGCAGCCAUGCCGCGUGGAUGAUGAAGGUCUUAGGAUUGUAAAAUCCUUUCACCGGUGAAGAUAAUGACUGUAGCCGGAGAAGAAGCCCCGGCUAACUUCGUGCCAGCCGCCGCAGUAAAAC
rnacentral:rRNA from 1 species